rnacentral:rRNA from 1 species
GAUUUUGUGGGUGGUGGUGCAUGGCCGUUCUUAGUUGGUGGAGUGAUUUGUCUGCUUAAUUGCGAUAACGAACGAGACCUUAACCUGCUAAAUAGCCCGUAUUGCUUUGGCAGUACGCCGGCUUCUUAGAGGGACUAUCGGCUCAAGCCGAUGGAAGUUUGAGGCAAUAACAGGUCUGUGAUGCCCUUAGAUGUUCUGGGCCGCACGCGCGCUACACUGACGGAGCCAGCGAGUAUCCCUUGGCCGGAAGGCCCGGGUAAUCUUGUUAAACUCCGUCGCGCUGGGGAUAGAGCAUUGCAAUUAUUGCUCUUCAACGAGGAAUCCCUAGUAAGCGCAAGUCAUCAGCUUGCGUUGAUUACGUCCCUGCCCUUUGUACACACCGCCCGUCGCUACUACCGAUUGAAUGGCUCAGUGAGGCGUUCGGACUGGCCCAGAGAGGUGGGCAACUACCACUCAUGGCCGGAAAGUUCUCCAAACUCGGUCAUUUAGAGGA